AGUAAAACCGGAGUUCAUUGCAAGGGAUUAGCCACCAUACAUCGUGCUAGUAAAUUAACGAGGAGGUAUUGCUUUUUUCCACGGAACAGUACCAGCAGGUUCACUGUCGACGUCCUUGCGGGGCAGUAUUGCUUGCACCAUCUUGUACAGCCUGUCUCCAAAUAAGAUCCCCAGUAUCCCUAGAGCAGCGACCAACACUAUCAUGGAGCCUAGUGCUAUCAGGACAACGUGUGAGGUGGGAAGGUGUCCUUCUGGCAAAGGUGCUGACGUAGACGUAUCGACGACGCGGGACGGUGUCCCAGUAACCGAUGUUGUGAGUUGACUGAGGAAGCUUUUAAGGCGGAGUCUGUGCCGUAUGAAAAGUCUUCGGCAACACCUGCGCCCUAAUAGAGAGAAAGCGAAUGAGAGGAUGUGAGUGUU